rnacentral:lncRNA from 1 species
GCGUUUAAAUGCAAGUGUAAUGAUUAUUACAAGAGACUUUUUCAUGAGAGAAGUCGUGUCUUCUCGAGGAGUCCAUCAAAUCACCCAUAAUUACAGGUUUUUCUCAAAUCUUAAUAUUACCAUUUUCAUUUAAUAUAUCAAAUCGUUUUGGAUACUGAUCAACUCUUGCAAAAUAUAACAAUAAAAUAUCUAAAUUUCGUUACGUUUUACAUAGUUUCAAAUAUUUAUGCAAUCUAAAUUCUGAACUUUUUCUUAGUUUCAUAACUUUAGACAAUCUAAAAUCACUUAGUUUCACUUACUUAUAUAUAGUUAUAUAUCUUAAUAAAUUAAAGUUAUACAAAGUUACAGUUCAGUUCCAAGAGAUGCGAGUGUCAGAAGGCGUGUGAGAGAAGUCAUGUUCUUUAGAGGAGUCCAUCGAAUCACCCAUAAUUACAAGUUUUUCUCAAAUCUUAAUCAAAUCACCCAUAAUUACAGGUUUUUCUCAAAUCUUAAUAUUACCAUUUUCAUUUAAUAUAUCGUAUACCUACUACUUGCUUUCAUUAUAUCCACAUCAAAUCACCCUUACAGUAUAAUUAAAUAUAUCCACUAAGUAUAAUAAGUUUUGGAUACUGAUCAACUCUUGCAAAAUAUAUUCCAAAUUAUAACAAU